rnacentral:tRNA from 1 species
UUGAUUGAAACCAAAAUUGAGGUAUAUCACUGUUAAUGAUAAAAUUGAAGUCUUACUCUUCCAGUCAAG